rfam:Triticum aestivum genome assembly, contig: Triticum_aestivum_CS42_TGACv1_scaffold_591998_7BS
UUAGUACUCCCUCCGUCCGGAAAUACUUGUCAUCAAAAUGAAUAAAAGAAGAUAUAUCUAGAUGUAUUUUAGUUCUAAAUACACCUAUUUUUGUCUAUUUUGAUGACAAGUUUUUUCGGACAAAGGGAGUACGUA